AUUGAACGCUGGCGGAAUGCUUUACACAUGCAAGUCGAACGGUAGAGGGGGCAACCCCUUGAGAGUGGCGAACGGGUGAGUAAUAUAUCGGAACGUGCCCAGUCGUGGGGAUAACGUAGCGAAAGUUACGCUAAUACCGCAUACGAUCUAAGGAUGAAAGCGGGGGAUCGCAAGACCUCGCGCGAUUGGAGCGGCCGAUAUCAGAUUAGGUAGUUGGUGAGGUAAAGGCUCACCAAGCCAACGAUCUGUAGCUGGUCUGAGAGGACGACCAGCCACACUGGAACUGAGACACGGUCCAGACUCCUACGGGAGGCAGCCAGUGGGGAAUUUUUGGACAAUGGACGCAAGUCUGAUCCAGCCACUUCGCGUGC
rnacentral:rRNA from 1 species